CUGCGGAAGGAUCAUUACCGAGUGCGGGUCUUUAUGGCCCAACCUCCCACCCGUGACUAUUGUACCUUGUUGCUUCGGCGGGCCCGCCAGCGUUGCUGGCCGCCGGGGGGCGACUCGCCCCCGGGCCCGUGCCCGCCGGAGACCCCAACAUGAACCCUGUUCUGAAAGCUUGCAGUCUGAGUGUGAUUCUUUGCAAUCAGUUAAAACUUUCAACAAUGGAUCUCUUGGUUCCGGCAUCGAUGAAGAACGCAGCGAAAUGCGAUAACUAAUGUGAAUUGCAGAAUUCAGUGAAUCAUCGAGUCUUUGAACGCACAUUGCGCCCCCUGGUAUUCCGGGGGGCAUGCCUGUCCGAGCGUCAUUGCUGCCCUCAAGCCCGGCUUGUGUGUUGGGCCCUCGUCCCCCGGCUCCCGGGGGACGGGCCCGAAAGGCAGCGGCGGCACCGCGUCCGGUCCUCGAGCGUAUGGGGCUUCGUCUUCCGCUCCGUAGGCCCGGCCGGCGCCCGCCGACGCAUUUAUUUGCAACUUG
rnacentral:rRNA from 1 species